GGUUAAGCGACUAAGCGUACACGGUGGAUGCCCUGGCAGUCAGAGGCGAUGAAGGACGUGCUAAUCUGCGAUAAGCGUCGGUAAGGUGAUAUGAACCGUUAUAACCGGCGAUUUCCGAAUGGGGAAACCCAGUGUGUUUCGACACACUAUCAUUAACUGAAUCCAUAGGUUAAUGAGGCGAACCGGGGGAACUGAAACAUCUAAGUACCCCGAGGAAAAGAAAUCAACCGAGAUUCCCCCAGUAGCGGCGAGCGAACGGGGAGCAGCCCAGAGCCUGAAUCAGUGUGUGUGUUAGUGGAAGCGUCUGGAAAGGCGCGCGAUACAGGGUGACAGCCCCGUACACAAAAAUGCACAUGCUGUGAGCUCGAUGAGUAGGGCGGGACACGUGGUAUCCUGUCUGAAUAUGGGGGGACCAUCCUCCAAGGCUAAAUACUCCUGACUGACCGAUAGUGAACCAGUACCGUGAGGGAAAGGCGAAAAGAACCCCGGCGAGGGGAGUGAAAAAGAACCUGAAACCGUGUACGUACAAGCAGUGGGAGCACGCUUAGGCGUGUGACUGCGUACCUUUUGUAUAAUGGGUCAGCGACUUAUAUUCUGUAGCAAGGUUAACCGAAUAGGGGAGCCGAAGGGAAACCGAGUCUUAACUGGGCGUUAAGUUGCAGGGUAUAGACCCGAAACCCGGUGAUCUAGCCAUGGGCAGGUUGAAGGUUGGGUAACACUAACUGGAGGACCGAACCGACUAAUGUUGAAAAAUUAGCGGAUGACUUGUGGCUGGGGGUGAAAGGCCAAUCAAACCGGGAGAUAGCUGGUUCUCCCCGAAAGCUAUUUAGGUAGCGCCUCGUGAAUUCAUCUCCGGGGGUAGAGCACUGUUUCGGCAAGGGGGUCAUCCCGACUUACCAACCCGAUGCAAACUGCGAAUACCGGAGAAUGUUAUCACGGGAGACACACGGCGGGUGCUAACGUCCGUCGUGAAGAGGGAAACAACCCAGACCGCCAGCUAAGGUCCCAAAGUCAUGGUUAAGUGGGAAACGAUGUGGGAAGGCCCAGACAGCCAGGAUGUUGGCUUAGAAGCAGCCAUCAUUUAAAGAAAGCGUAAUAGCUCACUGGUCGAGUCGGCCUGCGCGGAAGAUGUAACGGGGCUAAACCAUGCACCGAAGCUGCGGCAGCGACGCUUAUGCGUUGUUGGGUAGGGGAGCGUUCUGUAAGCCUGCGAAGGUGUGCUGUGAGGCAUGCUGGAGGUAUCAGAAGUGCGAAUGCUGACAUAAGUAACGAUAAAGCGGGUGAAAAGCCCGCUCGCCGGAAGACCAAGGGUUCCUGUCCAACGUUAAUCGGGGCAGGGUGAGUCGACCCCUAAGGCGAGGCCGAAAGGCGUAGUCGAUGGGAAACAGGUUAAUAUUCCUGUACUUGGUGUUACUGCGAAGGGGGGACGGAGAAGGCUAUGUUGGCCGGGCGACGGUUGUCCCGGUUUAAGCGUGUAGGCUGGUUUUCCAGGCAAAUCCGGAAAAUCAAGGCUGAGGCGUGAUGACGAGGCACUACGGUGCUGAAGCAACAAAUGCCCUGCUUCCAGGAAAAGCCUCUAAGCAUCAGGUAACAUCAAAUCGUACCCCAAACCGACACAGGUGGUCAGGUAGAGAAUACCAAGGCGCUUGAGAGAACUCGGGUGAAGGAACUAGGCAAAAUGGUGCCGUAACUUCGGGAGAAGGCACGCUGAUAUGUAGGUGAAGCGACUUGCUCGUGGAGCUGAAAUCAGUCGAAGAUACCAGCUGGCUGCAACUGUUUAUUAAAAACACAGCACUGUGCAAACACGAAAGUGGACGUAUACGGUGUGACGCCUGCCCGGUGCCGGAAGGUUAAUUGAUGGGGUUAGCGCAAGCGAAGCUCUUGAUCGAAGCCCCGGUAAACGGCGGCCGUAACUAUAACGGUCCUAAGGUAGCGAAAUUCCUUGUCGGGUAAGUUCCGACCUGCACGAAUGGCGUAAUGAUGGCCAGGCUGUCUCCACCCGAGACUCAGUGAAAUUGAACUCGCUGUGAAGAUGCAGUGUACCCGCGGCAAGACGGAAAGACCCCGUGAACCUUUACUAUAGCUUGACACUGAACAUUGAGCCUUGAUGUGUAGGAUAGGUGGGAGGCUUUGAAGUGUGGACGCCAGUCUGCAUGGAGCCGACCUUGAAAUACCACCCUUUAAUGUUUGAUGUUCUAACGUUGACCCGUAAUCCGGGUUGCGGACAGUGUCUGGUGGGUAGUUUGACUGGGGCGGUCUCCUCCUAAAGAGUAACGGAGGAGCACGAAGGUUGGCUAAUCCUGGUCGGACAUCAGGAGGUUAGUGCAAUGGCAUAAGCCAGCUUGACUGCGAGCGUGACGGCGCGAGCAGGUGCGAAAGCAGGUCAUAGUGAUCCGGUGGUUCUGAAUGGAAGGGCCAUCGCUCAACGGAUAAAAGGUACUCCGGGGAUAACAGGCUGAUACCGCCCAAGAGUUCAUAUCGACGGCGGUGUUUGGCACCUCGAUGUCGGCUCAUCACAUCCUGGGGCUGAAGUAGGUCCCAAGGGUAUGGCUGUUCGCCAUUUAAAGUGGUACGCGAGCUGGGUUUAGAACGUCGUGAGACAGUUCGGUCCCUAUCUGCCGUGGGCGCUGGAGAACUGAGGGGGGCUGCUCCUAGUACGAGAGGACCGGAGUGGACGCAUCACUGGUGUUCGGGUUGUCAUGCCAAUGGCACUGCCCGGUAGCUAAAUGCGGAAGAGAUAAGUGCUGAAAGCAUCUAAGCACGAAACUUGCCCCGAGAUGAGUUCUCCCUGACCCUUUAAGGGUCCUGAAGGAACGUUGAAGACGACGACGUUGAUAGGCCGGGUGUGUAAGCGCAGCGAUGCGUUGAGCUAACCGGUACUAAUGAACCGUGAGGCUUAACCUUACAACGCCGAA
rnacentral:rRNA from 1 species